CUGGGGGGCCGUUCCGGGCGACCCUAACACAUGGCAAGUUCGAGCGGGAUGAAGGGAGCUUUGCUCCUGGGAUUCAGCGGCGGACGGGUGAGUAAUGCCUAGGAAUCUGCCUGGUAGUGGGGGAUAACGUCCGGAAACGGGCGCUAAUACCGCAUACGUCCUGAGGGAGAAAGUGGGGGAUCUUCGGACCUCACGCUAUCAGAUGAGCCUAGGUCGGAUUAGCUAGUUGGUGGGGUAAAGGCCUACCAAGGCGACGAUCCGUAACUGGUCUGAGAGGAUGAUCAGUCACACUGGAACUGAGACACGGUCCAGACUCCUACGGGAGGCAGCAGUGGGGAAUAUUGGACAAUGGGCGAAAGCCUGAUCCAGCCAUGCCGCGUGUGUGAAGAAGGUCUUCGGAUUGUAAAGCACUUUAAGUUGGGAGGAAGGGCAGUAAGUUAAUACCUUGCUGUUUUGACGUUACCAACAGAAUAAGCACCGGCUAACUUCGUGCCAGCAGCCGCGGUAAUACGAAGGGUGCAAGCGUUAAUCGGAAUUACUGGGCGUAAAGCGCGCGUAGGUGGUUCAGCAAGUUGGAUGUGAAAUCCCCGGGCUCAACCUGGGAACUGCAUCCAAAACUACUGAGCUAGAGUACGGUAGAGGGUGGUGGAAUUUCCUGUGUAGCGGUGAAAUGCGUAGAUAUAGGAAGGAACACCAGUGGCGAAGGCGACCACCUGGACUGAUACUGACACUGAGGUGCGAAAGCGUGGGGAGCAAACAGGAUUAGAUACCCUGGUAGUCCACGCCGUAAACGAUGUCGACUAGCCGUUGGGAUCCUUGAGAUCUUAGUGGCGCAGCUAACGCGAUAAGUCGACCGCCUGGGGAGUACGGCCGCAAGGUUAAAACUCAAAUGAAUUGACGGGGGCCCGCACAAGCGGUGGAAGCAUGUGGUUUAAUUCGAAGCAACGCGAAGAACCUUACCUGGGCUUUGACAUGCUGGAGAAUUUUCCAGAAGAUGGAUUGGGUGCUUUCGGGAACUCAAAACCAAGGUUCUGGAAUGGUUGUUGU
rnacentral:rRNA from 1 species